rnacentral:rRNA from 1 species
GAUGAACGCUAGCUACAGGCUUAACACAUGCAAGUCGAGGGGAAACGAUAUUGGAAGCUUGCUUCCGAUAGGCGUCGACCGGCGCACGGGUGAGUAACGCGUAUCCAACCUGCCCAUCACUUGGGAAUAACCUUGCGAAAGUAAGACUAAUGCCCAAUGACAUUUAUAGAAGGCAUCUGAAAUGAAUUAAAGAUUAUCGGUGAUGGAUGGGGAUGCGUCUGAUUAGCUUGUUGGCGGGGUAACGGCCCACCCAAGGCGACGAUCAGUAGGGGUUCUGAGAGGAAGGUCCCCCACAUUGGAACUGAGACACGGUCCAAACUCCUACGGGAGGCAGCAGUGAGGAAUAUUGGUCAAUGGGCGGAAGCCUGAACCAGCCAAGUUAGCGUGCAGGAAGACGGCCCUAAUGGGUUGUAAACUGCUUUUAUAGGGGAAUAAAGUGAGCCACGUGUGGUUUUUUGCAUGUACCCUAUGAAUAAGGACCGGCUAAUUCCGUG